GUAGGUGAACCUGCGGAAGGAUCAUUAACACGUAUCCAACGUUAUCAACGAACUCGGUAUUGAAUGUUUUCAACCAUCUCCCAUCGGCGUCGACUUAUGCCCUCGUGCGCAUUACCUUCGUUCUUGGACUCGUCUGUCUUCUCCUGGUCAACGCUUAGGCCUGACUGUUGACGCAUGGGCACCCCCUUUACAUACCAUUCUAACUAUAUAUUACACUAGUUGUCUAUUUCUAUGUGCGAUGUUGCUUUGAGGUUUACGCCCACUGUGAUGUUCACACGUUUAUUUACUUGAACGUUAAAAUACAACUCUUAGCAAUGGAUAUCUUGGUUCUC
rnacentral:misc_RNA from 1 species